rnacentral:rRNA from 1 species
AUGUCUUUGCGUGGUCCCGGACAUGUUGAGGGCCCCUGCCUCGGCGAGUGCGGGCUCCACAAGGACCCAAUCCGACUAGAUGUCCUAUGUCGCGAACACACCUCGACACUGCAUGUUGCGCCGCUCUCCCUCCGUCGCGGUGUUGCACGACGAUGUGUUGCUGCAAUUGCGGCCGAGGAAAUGACAGAGGCACUCACGCGCGUUCGCGAGCAUCAAGGGAGGACUCCUUCACGACGACUGGGCACCGAUGGGGAGAUUAUGGCGGCGCCCACUCAUUGUCGUGCUAGAGGCGUCCUGGUAGUGACACCAGCUGGUCGAAGCGAGACAACUUAA